GCACUUCACCUGGUGAUCCUUUAGUAAUCACUCGCACCUGCCCUUGAUUCCUUCUCCUCUAUAAGUGUCCCCAGUUCCCUUGUCAUUGCGUUGUUUAUGUGUCCAAGAGAACACGUCUGAGCCCAAGAGCCAAGUCUAGUCAAGUUGUGAUUUUGAUUUUGUCAAGUAUGUCACGAUCCCACUCUCCUCCACUGCUAUUAUUCUUUGUUAUUUUCCUCCGUGCUGCUCUCUCAAUCUCUCUCCCCUCUCUACAGGAGGCGUGGCUGACCUACUUCCACUGAUGACGCUGGUGAUCAGCAACACCUGCGGCAGCUCAUCCUCACCUGCUCCUGAUGAGCAAUCAGGAGGCUUCUUAAGCCUUUGCCGUCCCAGUCACCAGCGUCAGAUUGUUUUUGCUCUACCAGUGGUCGCCACGUCUCCUGCUUCCCUGAAAGCUGCGGAUUCACCACAACCCAUCUUGGCCGUUGGAACCUCCCCUGUCCCUAUUCCCCAUCGUGAGUCUGAUCCAUCCAGCAUUCCCCCACUCACUGACUCUCACCCUGGGCUCUCACCAUUUCCCGGCACAGCUGCAUCAGCAAUAAACCUUGUUAAACCGUGAUCUGUCUCCUCUGCAUUGUCGGGUCCUCUUUGUAGUCAAACCGCUCUCAUUAGAGUGAAACCGUAUAGUCUAGUUUAGUUUCUCCUUCUGUAAAGACGUGAUUUUGAUUGAGGAAAAUAAACACUCUGGAAUCAUU